rnacentral:tRNA from 1 species
GGGCAGUUAGCUCAGUCGGUUGAGCGUGGUGCUGAUAACACCAAGGUCGUGGGUUCGACUCCUGUCCGAUCCC